rnacentral:rRNA from 1 species
UACGAAAGGGGCUAGCGUUGUUCGGAAUUACUGGGCGUAAAGCGCACGUAGGCGGCCUUGUAAGAUGGGGGUGAAAUCCCCGGGCUCAACCCGGGAACUGCCUUCAUGACUGCAAAGCUAGAGGAUGCGAGAGGAUAGCGGAAUUCCGAGUGUAGAGGUGAAAUUCGUAGAUAUUCGGAAGAACACCAGUGGCGAAGGCGGCUAUCUGGCGCAUUUCUGACGCUGAGGUGCGAAAGCGUGGGGAGCAAACAGG